rnacentral:lncRNA from 1 species
GGAGGAUUCAAAAUGAGACAUGGCGCUUCCACUAGAAGAAAACGGAACAAGCGAACGGCUUUUGAGUAGGAAACCACAGCACUUUCAGUAUCACCCAGGUAUUCAUCUACCUGCAACCAGUCCACAGUAAAACUGACAUUCUUUAGUCAUUCAUGUAUGAACUUGAGCAAUAUUUUUAAGCAGAAAUUUUGGUAACUUCUUCCUUAUCUUGAGGUUUUCAUGCAUCAUAUAAUAACGGAACUAAGCCUCCAUAUAGGGACGGCAAAGGACGAACUAAUACUUACUGCUCCGUGUCUCCCCAACGCUAGAGCAGACUGAUAUAUCAAUUCCAUUGCAUCUGGGAUCUCCUUGUUUCCUGAAUCACGAAACUCAGGAGUUCGUCACUGAAUAAUUUAUAAAGCACAUACAAUCUACAACAAGAUUAAGAGAAGUAAGUUCCUCAUACCAGGCUCUAUUGCUUUAGCAAGUUCCUCAGCAUGCUCGACUUCUUGAAGAAACACUCUCUCUAUCUGUUUACUGAUGUCUAGUGGCCCCUGCCUAUUAGCGAUGUCAAGAAACUCUUCGCC